rnacentral:rRNA from 1 species
GAUGAACGCUGGCGGCGUGCUUAACACAUGCAAGUCGAACGGUGAAGGCGGAGCGUGCUCUGCUGGAUCAGUGGCGAACGGGUGAGUAACACGUGAGCAAUCUGCCCCUGACUCUGGGAUAAGCGCUGGAAACGGCGUCUAAUACUGGAUACGAGCUGCGAAGGCAUCUUCAGCAGCUGGAAAGAAUUUCGGUCAGGGAUGAGCUCGCGGCCUAUCAGCUUGUUGGUGAGGUAAUGGCUCACCAAGGCGUCGACGGGUAGCCGGCCUGGGAGGGUGACCGGCCACACUGGGACUGAGACACGGACCAGACUCCUACGGGAGGCAGCAGUGGGGAAUAUUGCACAAUGGGCGAAAGCCUGAUGCAGCAACGCCGCGUGAGGGACGACGGCCUUCGGGUUGUAAACCUCUUUUAGCAGGGAAGAAGCGAAAGUGACGGUACCUGAAGAAAAAGCGCCGGCUAACUACGUG